GUGCUGUACACUAUUAGUACCUACUAUUCAGUAUGCACGCACAGUAGGCAGAUAUUUGUGCCUACUUCAUCUGAUUCAUUCAGUAUGGAAGUGACGUCAUUUACGUUUCCAGAACCGGCCGCAUCCAUUCUUUAUUCAAGAAGAGUAAUGCACAUAUACAGUCAGGUAAACAAAAAACAAUAUCACAAUGUAAAUCAAGUAAAAGACAGAUUAAAUAACUAAAUAACAUACAGUACAUAAAGAAAAGUACAAAUGAAAGACAGUAAUAUACAGAAUAUAAAAUAAAAUAAACAAAUAAAGACGCAUUAAAUAGUGAACUCAUUAUUUAAAUAGAGGGGGAAAGGUUUUAUAAUAAUGCAGACAUUUGUUAUAUUUUCUGUUGUUAAUUUAAAGUAGCGAUUUCAGUCGGGACUUUAACUCUAGAUUAAAAAUUGAUUAAAUUAA